AACGAACGCUGGCGGCAUGCCUAACACAUGCAAGUCGAACGAGAUCUUCGGGUCUAGUGGCGCACGGGUGCGUAACGCGUGGGAAUCUGCCCUUUGGUUCGGAAUAACAGUUGGACACGACUGCUAAUACCGGAUGAUGACGAAAGUCCAAAGAUUUAUCGCCAGAGGAUGAGCCCGCGUAGGAUUAGCUAGUUGGUGUGGUAAAGGCGCACCAAGGCGACGAUCCUUAGCUGGUCUGAGAGGAUGAUCAGCCACACUGGGACUGAGACACGGCCCAGACUCUUACGGGAGGCAGCAGUGGGGAAUAUUGGACAAUGGGCGAAAGCCUGAUCCAGCAAUGCCGCGUGAGUGAUGAAGGCCUUAGGGUUGUAAAGCUCUUCUACCCGGGAUGAUAAUGACAGUACCGGGAGAAUAAGCUCCGGCUAACUCCGUGCCAGCCGCCGCGGUAA
rnacentral:rRNA from 1 species